rnacentral:misc_RNA from 1 species
GUAGGUGAACCUGCGGAGGGAUCAUUAACACGUAUCCACGUAAACACCUGUGAACUGUCGUCAUUGUGCCUGCGGCGGACUGGAAGGGUUGGGCGAGUUGAGCCUACCGGAAGGUUUGCUUCAGGUGCUGUCGUACCAUUUUUACUCAGUGUAACCGAACGCCCUGAUAUAUUCCUGAGAAGGUUAACGCCAACUCAUGAAUUAAAACAACAACACAUUCGUACAACUCUUAGCAACGGAUAUCUUGGUU